rnacentral:sRNA from 3 species
UAUCUCUCCAUACGGGGAAGGAUGAGAAGCUUCGACUAAGGUUCGAUUCGAGCGCAGCGAGAAAGCGUUGCCGCAGGCAACGACCCGAAGGGUGAGGAGCGGAGCGACGAAUAAUCCUUCCCCCACCACCA